CCUACGGGAGGCAGCAGUGGGGAAUUUUGGACAAUGGGCGCAAGCCUGAUCCAGCAAUGCCGCGUGAGUGAAGAAGGCCUUCGGGUUGUAAAGCUCUUUUGUCAGGGAAGAAACGGUUGAGGCUAAUAUCCUCGGCUAAUGACGGUACCUGAAGAAUAAGCACCGGCUAACUACGUGCCAGCAGCCGCGGUAAUACGUAGGGUGCAAGCGUUAAUCGGAAUUACUGGGCGUAAAGCGUGCGCAGGCGGUUUUGUAAGUCUGUCGUGAAAGCCCCGGGCGUUAACCUGGGAAUUGCGAUGGAGACUGCAAGGCUUGAAUCUGGCAGAGGGGGGUAGGAAUUCCACGUGUAGCAGUGAAAUGCGUAGAGAUGUGGAGGAACACCGAUGGCGAAGGCAGCCCCCUGGGUCAAGAUUGACGCUCAUGCACGAAAGCGUGGGGAGCAAACAGGAUUAGAUACCCUGGUAGUCCACGCCCUAAACGAUGUCUACUAGUUGUCGGGUCUUAAUUGACUUGGUAACGCAGCUAACGCGUGAAGUAGACCGCCUGGGGAGUACGGUCGCAAGAUUAAAACUCAAAAGUAGUAGUGGACGNGNGAGAGACGACGACGACGACGACGGAGGGAGGAGG
rnacentral:rRNA from 1 species